GAUGAAGAACGUAGCGAAAUGCGAUACGUAAUGUGAAUUGCAGAAUUCAGUGAAUCAUCGAGUCUUUGAACGCACAUUGCGCCCCCUGGUAUUCCGGGGGGCAUGCCUGUCCGAGCGUCAUUGCUGCCCUCAAGCACGGCUUGUGUGUUGGGCCUCCGUCCUCCUCCCGGGGGACGGGCCCGAAAGGCAGCGGCGGCACCGCGUCCGGUCCUCGAGCGUAUGGGGCUUCGUCACCCGCUCUUGUAGGCCCGGCCGGCGCUUGCCGACACAUCAAUCUUUUUUCCAGGUUGACCUCGGAUCAGGUAGGGAUACCCGCUGAACUUAAGCAUGUCAUAAGCGGAGGA
rnacentral:misc_RNA from 1 species